rnacentral:rRNA from 1 species
CCUACGGGUGGCAGCAGUGGGGAAUAUUGCACAAUGGGGGAAACCCUGAUGCAGCGACGCCGCGUGAGUGAAGAAGUAAUUCGUUAUGUAAAGCUCUAUCAGCAGGGAAGAACAUGCCGGUAACUGAGUAAGAAGCCCCGGCUCACUACGUACCAGCAGCCGAGGAAAUACGUAGGGGGCAAGCGUUAGCCGGAUUUAAUGGGUGGAAAGGGAGCGGAGACGGCAGUGCAGGACUGGAGGGAAAGGCGGGGGCUCAACCCCCGGACUGCGCUUGAAACUGUACGGCUGGAGUGCAGGAGAGGUAAGUGGAAUUCCAUGGGUAGCGGUGAAAUGCGUAGAUAUUAGGAGGAACACCAGUGGCGAAGGCGGCUUACUGGACUGUAACUGACGUUGAGGCUCGAAAGCGUGGGGAGCAAACAGGAUUAGAUACCCGUGUAGUC